rnacentral:rRNA from 1 species
GGGGAUGUGCCUUGAGGUGGGGAAUAACUGUGGGAAACUACAGCUAAUACCGCAUAAGCCCGAAAGGGGAAAGAUUUAUCGCCUUUAGAGCAACCCGCGUCAGAUUAGCUAGUUGGUAGGGUAAUGGCCUACCAAGGCGACGAUCUGUAGCUGGUCUGAGAGGAUGACCAGCCACACUGGGACUGAGACACGGCCCAGACUCCUACGGGAGGCAGCAGUGGGGAAUAUUGGACAAUGGGCGCAAGCCUGAUCCAGCCAUGCCGCGUGAGUGAUGACGGCCUUAGGGUUGUAAAGCUCUUUUAACAGGGACGAUAAUGACGGUACCUGUAGAAUAAGCCCCGGCAAACUUCGUGCCAGCAGCCGCGGUAAUACGAAGGGGGCUAGCGUUGUUCGGAAUUACUGGGCGUAAAGCGCACGUAGGCGGAUUGUUAAGUCGGGGGUGAAAUCCUGAGGCUCAACCUCAGAACUGCCUUCGAUACUGGCGAUCUUGAGUUCGGAAGAGGUUGGUGGAACAGCUAGU